rnacentral:rRNA from 1 species
GAUGAACGCUGGCGGCGUGCCUAAUACAUGCAAGUCGAGCGAACAGACGAGGAGCUUGCUCCUCUGACGUUAGCGGCGGACGGGUGAGUAACACGUGGAUAACCUACCUAUAAGACUGGGAUAACUUCGGGAAACCGGAGCUAAUACCGGAUAAUAUAUUGAACCGCAUGGUUCAAUAGUGAAAGACGGUUUUGCUGUCACUUAUAGAUGGAUCCGCGCCGCAUUAGCUAGUUGUUAAGGUAACGGCUUACCAAGGCAACGAUGCGUAGACGACCUGAGAGGGUGAUAGGCCACACUGGAACUGAGCCACGGUCCAGAGUCCUACGGGAGGCAGCAGUAGGGAAUCGGCCGCAAUGGGCGAAAGCCUGACGGAGCAACGCCGCGUGAGUGAUGAAGGUCUUCGGAUCGUAAAACUCUGUUAUUAGGGAAGAACAAAUGUGUAAGUAACUAUGCACGUCUUGACGGUACCUAAUCAGAAAGCCACGGCUAACUACGUG